AUUGAACGCUGGCGGCAGGCCUAAAAAAUGCAAGUCGAGCGAGCGGCGGACGGGUGAGUAAUGUAUGGGGACUGCCCGAAAGAGGGGGAUAACUACUGGAAACGGUGGCUAAUACCGCAUACUGACGGAGAACCCAUAUGGGAAGAGCUAGUAGGUAAGGUAAUGGCUUACCUAGGCGACGAUCCCUAGCUGGUCUGAGAGGAUGAUCAGCCACACUGGGACUGCGACACUGCCCAGACUCCUACGGAGGCAGCAGUGGGGAAUAUUGCACAAUGGGCGCAAGCCUGCUGCAGCCAUGCCGCGUGUAUUAAGAAGGCUCUAGGGUUGUAAAGUACUUUCAGUCGGGAGGCGUUACCGACAGCAGAAGCACCGGCUAACUCCGUGCCAGCAGCCGCGGUAAUAC
rnacentral:rRNA from 1 species